AAAAAAAAAAAUCUUUGGUUUAAUGUACCAUAAUCUGCUUGAUGUUCUUAGUUUAACAGAAGUGAAUAUACAAUAAUAUAACAACUUUAUGUCUUUAUGAAAUCCCAUAAGUUGAAUUCAUAAUUGUGGAUACCUAAUUUAAGCGAUAUUCUGACAAUGUGUACGAUGUAAGAGGGAGUGUGUCUAAGCUGCCAAUCUUAUGAUGUAAGCA